GGGGGUUUAGCUCAGUUGGCUAGAGCGUUNNCAUUUCCAUGGUAAGGAAAAGGUCACCGGUUCGAUUCCGGUAAUCUCCACCU
rnacentral:tRNA from 1 species